ensembl:lncRNA
CCCAACGAGCUGCUUCGGACGAUAAGGUACAUCCUUGCGCGUUUUUCUCUCAUCGAUUAUCUCCUGCUGAACGUAAUUAUGACAUUGGCAAUAGAGAGUUGUUGGCCGUCAAAUUAGCGUUAGAGGAGUGGCGUCACUGGCUGGAAGGUUCAGGGGUACCUUUUAUUGUUUGGACCGAUCAUAAGAAUUUAGAGUACAUUAGAACUGCCAAAAGACUCAAUUCCAGGCAGGCUCGGUGGGCACUUUUUUUCGGUCGCUUUGAGUUUACUUUAUCGUACCGCCCGGGUUCCAAGAAUGUCAAGCCCGAUUCUUUAUCACGUCUUUUUGAUGAAUACAAUCAGCAGGUAGGCCCUUCUGGGAACUCCAAGAGGAGCUCUUAGAGGGGGGGUACUGUCACGGUUGGUAAACCGUGAUCUCUGGGUGUUUGCACUUUGUGGUGAAGUCUGUGUGUUUCGCGUCUGCACUGAUUAGUUUGUGGGCAUCUCCGUUAAUUGUCAUCGGCAGCAGCUGUCACUCAUUACUCAUUCCCUAUAUAUUGGCUUGUCUCAUGUCUUGUGUUUGUGAGAUUGUUGUUUUAUGUCGCUUACCCUGUUUGUUUGGCUUCAGUGUUGGAUGUUCGUGUUUUCCCGGAACCUCAUCCACUCUACGCACUUCCACUCAGCCACAAAUACUUACCUUCGGCUCUAUUCCCCGCAGUUCCUGUGCCAUCCUCUCCUGCUGCCUUCUCACCGAUAAUUACUUGACACGUCUGUGUGUGGUGGCUCUUGAUGCCUUGACCCCAGCCUCAGUCCAUUCCUUGUGA